rnacentral:lncRNA from 1 species
CCUCAGAGGGCAGCCCUGGCUUUCCCGAAGGAGUGACAGUAAGCCUUGGUAAUUCUACAAGAGCAUGUAACAUCUUAGGGCUAGAUGCCAGCCAUCUUAAGGUGUCCCUUCAUCCUCUCCAGGGACAGAGGGCCAGGAGGAAAGCUGCUAGCGUCCAGCAGGUGGCAGCAGUUCCCAGAGGGACUGCUCUUCCAGGAACACCCUGGAUGGGGUUGCCCUCCGAGAGCCCAGCACGGCAUUCACACUCCCAGCCAGGCAGGAAGCAUAGGCUGGGCUACCAGACUGGGAAUGCUGGGAAGAGGAACACAGAAAGGGAGCUGCCUAGGAGAUGCCAUGUAGCCUCUGCAGGAGUAACAUGCUGGAGCAUGAUGGGUCCUUCUUGUUCCCGACUGCCAUUCUGGAGGGAUGGAAGACACGAGUUAAUACAGUUACCUUGUUAAACAAUAAAUGACUCUUGGCUUUGCAUCGAACAGGUCUCUUGGUGAUUUGGGGGUUCUGAAUUUGGGCACAACAAUUUUCACUAAUAUUUGCAUGUCCAGAUUCCUCCAUUCAUUGUGUUUACCAAACUCUGUGCUUCAUAAAGACACAGAAAGCAAGUGUUCAGUACAGACAAGUAGAGGAAACACAGUACAUAAGCAAGGCCCAGCCUGGGGAC